rnacentral:rRNA from 1 species
UGCGAUAAGGGGACUCCGAGUGUGAAGGCAUAGAGCCUUCACUUUUGUACACCGUAAGGUGGUGCACGAAUAAGGACUGGGCAAGACCGGUGCCAGCCGCCGCGGUAAUACCGGCAGUCCGAGUGAUGGCCGAUCUUAUUGGGCCUAAAGCGUCCGUAGCUGGCUGAACAAGUCCGUUGGGAAAUCUGUCCGCUUAACGGGCAGGCGUCCAGCGGAAACUGUUCAGCUUGGGACCGGAAGACCUGAGGGGUACGUCUGGGGUAGGAGUGAAAUCCUGUAAUCCUGGACGGACCGCCGGUGGCGAAAGCGCCUCAGGAGAACGGAUCCGACAGUGAGGGACGAAAGCUAGGGUCUCGAACCGGAUUAGAUACCCGGGUAGUCCUAGCUGUAAACGAUGUCCGCUAGGUGUGGCGCAGGCUACGAGCCUGCGCUGUGCCGUAGGGAAGCCGAGAAGCGGACCGCCUGGGAAGUAC